GCGACCUUAGAACCCCAUUCAGUGGCGCCGAGCGUUAUAGACACAGCACAGCAGUCCCUUACAGGUUGAGUGGUGAUCAGAGAAACACCUAGGACUAAAGACUUCUAAACACUCAUCUCAAAGGAUCUACAGUGUGCCAGCAGAAACCCUUGCACUGAAUCUCCGGCAGCAUUAGUCACCACAGCCAAAAGUGCCCACCGACGAGUGAAGGGGUAAAGAAACGUGAAACACACAUGUCUGGUCGGUAACUCGGCCUUUAAGAGGGAAAGCUGCCGGCUGCAGCAUGAACGGAACUUGAAGGCAGCAGGCUGAGUGCGGACAAUACACAGCAAAUGGCCAACAGAUGUUGGCUUUG
rnacentral:lncRNA from 1 species